rnacentral:rRNA from 1 species
AUUGAACGCUGGCGGCAUGCCUUACACAUGCAAGUCGAACGGCAGCACGGGUGCUUGCACCGUGGUGGCGAGUGGCGAACGGGUGAGUAAUAUAUCGGAACGUACCUUAUCGUGGGGGAUAACGCAGCGAAAGCUGCGCUAAUACCGCAUACGCCCUGAGGGGGAAAGCGGGGGACCGUAAGGCCUCGCGCGAUUAGAGCGGCCGAUAUCUGAUUAGCUUGUUGGUGGGGUAAAAAGCCCACCAAGGCGACGAUCAGUAGCUGGUCUGAGAGGACGAUCAGCCACACUGGGACUGAGACACGGCCCAGACUCCUACGGGAGGCAGCAGUGGGGAAUUUUGGACAAUGGGGGCAACCCUGAUCCAGCAAUGCCGCGUGAGUGAAGAAGGCCUUCGGGUUGUAAAGCUCUUUUGUCAGGGAAGAAACAGCAGCUCUAACACAGUCUGCGAAUGACGGUACCUGAAGAAUAAGCACCGGCUAACUACGUG